GACGAACGCUGGCGGCGUGCUUAACACAUGCAAGUCGAACGAAGUGGCGAACGGGUGAGUAACGCGUAAUCAACCUGCACUUCAGAGGGGGACAACAGUUGGAAACGACUGCUAAUACGGCCUACUGACGGAGGGGAGUGUGUCUGAUACGCUAGUUGGAGGGGUAACUGCCCAACAAGGGGAUGAUCGGUAGCUGGUCUGAGAGGAUGAACGGCACCAUUGGGACUGAGACACGUCUCAGACUCCUACGGUAGGCAGCAGUGGGGAAUCUUCCGCAAUGGAGGAAAGUCUGACGGAGCAACGCCGCGGGAGUGAUGACUGCCUUCGGGUUGUAAAGCUCUGUUAAUCGGGACGCGGUACCGGAAUAGAAAGCCACGGCUAACUACGUGCCAGCAGCCGCGGUAAUUC
rnacentral:rRNA from 1 species